rnacentral:rRNA from 1 species
AGUGAACGCUGGCGGUAGGCCUAACACAUGCAAGUCGAACGGCAGCACAGUAAGAGCUUGCUCUUACGGGUGGCGAGUGGCGGACGGGUGAGGAAUACAUCGGAAUCUACUUUUUCGUGGGGGAUCACGUAGGGAAACUUACGCUAAUACCGCAUACGACCUACGGGUGAAAGCAUGGGAUCUUCGGACCUUGCGCGAUUGAAUGAGCCGAUGUCGGAUUAGCUAGUUGGCGGGGUAAAGGCCCACCAAGGCGACGAUCCGUAGCUGGUCUGAGAGGAUGAUCAGCCACACUGGAACUGAGACACGGUCCAGACUCCUACGGGAGGCAGCAGUGGGGAAUAUUGGACAAUGGGCGCAAGCCUGAUCCAGCCAUACCGCGUGGGUGAAGAAGGCCUUCGGGUUGUAAAGCCCUUUUGUUGGGAAAGAAAAGCAGCAGGUUAAUACCCCGCUGUUCUGACGGUACCCAAAGAAUAAGCACCGGCUAACUUCGUG